rnacentral:rRNA from 1 species
UACAGGGGGGGCAAGCGUUGUUCGGAAUUACUGGGCGUAAAGGGCUCGUAGGUGGCCAACUAAGUCAGACGUGAAAUCCCUCAGCUUAACUGGGGAACUGCGUCUGAUACUGGAUGGCUUGAGUUUGGGAGAGGGAUGCGGAAUUCCAGGUGUAGCGGUGAAAUGCGUAGAUAUCUGGAGGAACACCGGUGGCGAAGGCGGCAUCCUGGACCAACACUGACGCUGAGGAGCGAAAGCCAGGGGAGCAAACGGGG